UACGUAGGUGGCGAGCGUUGUCCGGAUUUACUGGGCGUAAAGAGCGCGCAGGCGGUCGUACAAGUCGCGUGUGAAAGCCCCCGGCUCAACUGGGGAGGGUCACGCGAUACUGUUCGACUCGAAGGCAGGAGAGGGAAGUGGAAUUCCCGGUGUAGUGGUGAAAUGCGUAGAUAUCGGGAGGAACACCGGUGGCGAAGGCGCCUCUCUGGGCCUGUCCUGACGCUCAGGCGCGAAAGCUAGGGGAGCGAACAGG
rnacentral:rRNA from 1 species